AGUAAAGCUUUGAAAAGAAGAGUACAUGUCAAGAACGUUUGCAGAGAACCCUGUUUGCUGAAAAGGGGUAACAUGAUUGAGGUGGAAGAUGGUCUUUGAGCAGAAUAGGUGAGCGUAAGUAAACUUAUUACGGAAGUGCCCGUUACAGCACCACAGUAUGCGAGAUUCAAGUACUGGAUAAGACUAUUAUUGUGAAAUGAUAGUGAAUCAAGGUGGUAUCACGAAAGUCAAGCUUUCGUCCUUUCG
rnacentral:ncRNA from 1 species